ACCGAAGGUGGUAGUGAAUCUAUGAAUGAGAUAUCUCGGCCGUGAGGUAUGACGUGGGACGGAAAGGAAAAGAGGAUAUUAUGUGAGAUUACAGUGUGGUAAGAAGUUUGCUUCCCAACCACAUGGUUCUGGGUUCAGUCCUACUGCAUGGCACCUUGAGCAAGUGUCUUCUACUAUAACAUCAGGCUGACCAAAGCUUUGUGAGUGGAUUUGGUAGACAGAAAGGAGGCAAGGAUCGAGACUGAGCUCCUUUCAAAUGUUGGGCUUCACAGAGGCAAUGGCUGAGACCUUGGGCAUUAUAAGCACCUCUUGAGUGUUGAGCCCCACAGAGGCAAGGAGCUAAAAGCCAUGCAGCUGUGCUCAUGCUGGAGCACUACCAUGGUGGAGGCCAUGCAAAGUUCAGUGGAAUCACAGAAAAUAUGAGAAUUGGUUUGAGGUUGGGUAGGCACACAGAUGGGGGAGGGGACACACACAACUACUGCUCUGUUACUUCCUUAAUUUCUUUUGCCAUUAUCUGGAAUUCUUUAAAAUUUACACACACACACACACAUGCAUAAAAUACAUUUUCUAUAGCUUAAAUUCCAUCAUGAUAGACAGAAAAAACAGAAUCCAUUCGACACUUUGAUAAUAAUUAAUGAAUGAUGAAUAAAGAAUCAGGUUGGCAUUGGAAAAUCUUGUAUGAAUUAAAUAUUAUGUUACAGCCUGGAAGGAUACACAUUUCAUGACAGUCUUUUAGGGUAAUUGCCAGUGUUGGUUUGUAGCACUUUGGGAUAGUGCUGUAACGUUUCCGAAUAGUAAGUACCUUGGAGAAGAAAUCGUAGUUGCCAAAUGUGACAUAUUCUAACUUUCAGAUAUAUUUUAUAAACUAAAUUUGCUGAACAAACAGCUACAAGGUAGAAAUACAAAUCUUUUAAUUUCCAAAGAAGCUCUUGGUGGUUUCCUUCAAAAAGCUUAAUCUGUCCAAGAUUAGCAUUAGGCCCUUCCUACUCUUCAAGAGGAAAUGCAAGAAGAUGAUAUUUUUAGUACAAAUUGAGCACUUGUGUACUAAAGAAACUGCACAAUGAUAUGGAAAUCAGGGUCAAAGACCUCUUAGAAACAAACAUUCCAAGUUGGGUGGCAGACCCAUUUGUGACAAAUACAGCUGAUGUUGAUAUCAGACUAUAAGAAAGCCUUAUUGAUCUGCAGAAUAAUCAAAUUGCUCAGACUGAAUUUAAUCAUGAAUUUAAUAACUUAUGGAGAAGUAACGAAAUUGUUGUGGAAUUCCCGUUGCCUUGGCAGGAAGUAACAUUAUAUGUCAUUGCUUUCUGUCUGUACUUCUUAGCUUGUCGUGACAGGUUUUAACCGAGUGUCUUUCCUGCAAUUCAAAAGCUUGCUAUCACCUAGAAAUUUUAUGUAGAGAUGAUUUGCGUUUGUCUCUAACAACCAUUGUACUGAAAACCUGUGAAACUACAUCAGCCACAAUGAUCUCACCUAAAUAAAUACAGUAAAAAGGUAAUAUGAUAUAUUUUGCAAAAGGAUUUUACUUUUUAUGCUAAAAAAGUGAUAAUUUUUUAGGAUAAAAAAGAUAUAAAGGUAAAGAUCCUUCCCAAGUCAUAUAGGGCCAGUUUACCAGUUUCUAUGGCGUAUAUAUACCACACCUGGAUGGGACGUUGGUCCACUGCAGGUUUACUCACUUUUGCCCACUGAGUCAACUGGAGCAACAUGAAAUGAAGUGUUUUGCUCAAGAAUACAACACACUGCCUGGUGCAGGAAUCGAAACCACAAUCUUAUGAUCAUGAGUCCAACACUCUAACCACUCAGCCAUGUGGUUUUAGGAGUUAUUGAAAUUCUCAAAGAAGUUUUUUUGUUAUGUGUGUUUUAUCUUUUACGUGUUUCAGUCAUUAGACUGUGGCCAUGCUGGGGCACCACCUUGAAGAAUUUUUAGUCAAAUGAAUUAACCCAGGGUUUAUUAUUAUUAUUUUUUUUUAGAAAUCUGGUACAUAUUCCAUUGGUCUCUUUUGCAAAACUGCUAAGUUAUGAUGCCAUAAACACACUGACACUAGUUGUCAAUUGGUGGUUGGGGGUAAACAGACACAAAGCCACACACACACAACAGGCUUCUUCCAGUUUCCAUCUACCAGAUCCAUUCACAUGGCUUCAGUUGGCUUGAAGCUAUAGCAGAAGACACUUGCUCAAGGUGCCAUGCAGUAGGACUGAACCCUGAACCAUAUGGUUAAGAAACAAACUUCUUACUACACAGGCAAAAUAAAAAUACAAAAAAAAAAAACCUAAUGUACGUUUAUAAACAGUUGUUUUACUGAACCUACAAAAUAUUUUGGCUUUUGUGAAACAGAAUAAUUGCAAAUAAAUAUACAAUUAACAGACACUAAUAUUUUAAUGGAGUUCAUUACCUUAAUGGGAGAAAAACCUUUGAAAAGAAUUGAGGUUUUUUUAUGUUUAUUUAUCAUUAUAAAUUUUUGUUCAAAAAUUGUUUUCAUUUGAUAUUAUGAAAUUUUAAAUAUUUAUAGAAAUAAAUUUCAUGAUAAUAA